AUUGAACGCUGGCGGCAGGCUUAACACAUGCAAGUAGAGCGAGCGGCGGGCGGGAGAGUAAUGUCUGGGACACUGCCUGAUGGGGGGGGAUAACUACUGGAAACGGUAGCUAAUACCGCAUACCAUCAGAUUUACCCAGAUGGGAUUAGCUUGUAGGUGGGGUAGUGGCUCACCUAGGCGAAGAUCCCUAGCUGGUCUGAGAGUAUGACCAGCCACACUGGAACGGUGACACGGUCCAGAUUCCUACGGGAGGAAGCAGUGGGGAAUAUUGCACAAUGGGCGAAAGCCUGAUGCAGCCAUGCCGCGUGUGUGAAGAAGGCCUUCGGGUUGUAAAGCACUUUCAGCGAGGAGGCGUUACCCGCAGAAGAAGCACCGGCUAACUCCGUGCCAGCAGCCGCGGUAAUAC
rnacentral:rRNA from 1 species